GACGAACGCUGGCGGCGUGCUUAACACAUGCAAGUCGAACGGCAGCGCCUGCUUUCCUUUGUGGAUUGCGGGUGCUCGAGUGGCGAACGGGUGAGUACAACGUGAGUUAUCUGCCCGCAACUUGGGUAUAAGCCUGGGAAACUGGAUCUCCUUACCGAUACGACUGCAGGGUGGUGCGUGUGGUGGAAAACGAUUUUCUAGUGGUUGGGGAUGGGCUGGCGGCCUAUCAGCUGGUUGUUGGGGUAAUGGCCUACCAAGGCGGCGAGGGGUAGCCGGCCUGAGAUGGUGGACAGCGACAGUGGGACUGAGACACGACACAGACUCCUACGGGAGGCAGCAGUGGGGAAUAUUGGACAGUGGGCGGAAGCCUGACGCAGCGACGCCGCGUGGAGGAUGACCGCCUUGGGGAGGUAAACUCCUUUCGACCGCGAGGAGGCCGCCUGGUUGGAAGGGUGGUGACGGUACUGGAAGAAGAAGCACCGGCUAACUACGUG
rnacentral:rRNA from 1 species